GUGGCCUUGCGGUGACGCCUCACCAAGCGCGUCCUCCUCCUCCUCAUGCCGGCUGAGAACGAAGACCACAAGGGGACGACAACUCAACAACAAGUCGAAGGCGAGAUGUCGGGAUGGUGGAUCACUGAUUAUUCCGGAUGAUUUCUGAUUUUGUUGGCAAUAUCCGGUCCACACCAUGAGACUGAUGUCCGAGGAGCACCAGGACGCCGUUGAUUAUCUCUCAGCAUUUCGAGGCCAGAAUUGCAGAAGAUGGAGGUCUUACCCUUGAUGACUCUGGUCACCUUGGUUAAGCCGGGCUCCCCAAUCACCCUGGUUACCUUGGUGACUGAGGGCUCCGUCUCGACGACGCCGGCUCCCUCGGUGAUCACGGGCUCGCCCUGCACCACCACCCGGGUGACCGUCGGUUCUGUUUCGA